rnacentral:misc_RNA from 1 species
GAUGAAGAACGCAGCGAAAUGCGAUAAGUAAUGUGAAUUGCAGAAUUCAGUGAAUCAUCGAAUCUUUGAACGCACAUUGCGCCCGCCAGUAUUCUGGCGGGCAUGCCUGUCCGAGCGUCAUUUCAACCAUCAAGCCCCGGGCUUGUGUUGGGGACCUGCGUCCGACGCAGGCCCUGAAAACCAGUGGCGGGCUCGCUGUCCACACCGAGCGUAGUAACUAACCUCGCUAUGGAGUGGCGCGGGCGCCUGCCGUAACCCCCAAUUUCACAAGGUUGACCUCGGAUCAGGUAGGAAUACCCGCUGAACUUAAGCAUAUCAAUAGCGGAGGA